AACCUGGGAGGGAUCAUUACAAGUGACCCCGGUCUAACCACCGGGAUGUUCAUAACCCUUUGUUGUCCGACUCUGUUGCCUCCGGGGCGACCCUGCCUUCGGGCGGGGGCUCCGGGUGGACACUUCAAACUCUUGCGUAACUUUGCAGUCUGAGUAAACUUAAUUAAUAAAUUAAAACUUUUAACAACGGAUCUCUUGGUUCUGGCAUCGAUGAAGAACGCAGCGAAAUGCGAUAAGUAAUGUGAAUUGCAGAAUUCAGUGAAUCAUCGAAUCUUUGAACGCACAUUGCGCCCCCUGGUAUUCCGGGGGGCAUGCCUGUUCGAGCGUCAUUUCACCACUCAAGCCUCGCUUGGUAUUGGGCAUCGCGGUCCGCCGCGUGCCUCAAAUCGACCGGCUGGGUCUUCUGUCCCCUAAGCGUUGUGGAAACUAUUCGCUAAAGGGUGUUCGGGAGGCUACGCCGUAAAACAACCCCAUUUCUAAGGUUGACCUCGGAUCAGGUAGGGAUACCCGCUGAACUUAAGCAUAUCA
rnacentral:rRNA from 1 species